UACGGGGGAGGCAAGCGUUGUUCGGAAUUACUGGGCGUAAAGGGCGCGUAGGCGGCCUUCUAAGUCGGACGUGAAAUCCCUCGGCUUAACCGAGGAACUGCGUCCGAUACUGAAAGGCUUGAAUCCGGGAGAGGGAUGUGGAAUUCCAGGUGUAGCGGUGAAAUGCGUAGAUAUCGAGAGGAACACCCGUGGCGAAGGCGGGUCACUGGCCCGGUACUGACGCUGAGGUGCGAAAGCGUGGGGAGCAAACAGGA
rnacentral:rRNA from 1 species